GGUGUGCGGGUGGCUUACCAUCUUUUGAUGGAGGAAGCUCUUCCCUUGGGAGCGCAUGUGCGCAUCUGCGCAUAUUGCCUAAGGCAGUGACCUGGAGCAGAAACGAUACCGCUGCGCGCUAUAAGCUAUGACAAUACGAGCUGCGCGGUGCGGGUGAAACGGCCAGGGAUGUGCGCGAGGAUCAUGCAAGGCAAAACGCCGCUUAGUCGAAUGCCACCUAAAACAGAAGGAGGGCUACGGCACACC
rnacentral:RNase_P_RNA from 1 species